GCAGGGAUGUGGAGAAGGAGAUCCUUGUGCACUGUUGGUGGGAGUACAAAUUGGUACACACACUACGGAGAACAGUAUGGAGAUUCGUCCACAAGCUGAAACUACUGUGGGAUCCAGCAAUUCCACUUCUGGGUGCCGAGAUGCUAAAGGAAGGCAGUUUACAGAUUCCGGCUGACGUUUGCCAAUGUGGGGGAAACGCAGGAAUAAACACGACUGCUCUUCUUGAAAACGAACUUGAUGGAGAAGGCGAUCACGAGGCGCACGUGCUCUCUCUUAAUCCAGGACUCUGCGGUAACUGUCGAUUUACCCCGCAGUUGGGUGAACUUGAUCUGUUUGGGCAAGCGGCUCCCGUGGAGAGCUGGGCACCUUGAGUGGUGUGAGAACAACUUCCCGCCCGGCUGACUGAGCAGAGGGCAUCCUCCCCACCCCCAGCUCCUUUCCUGGUGUUGAGGCUCCGGUGGGCCUGCAGACCCUCAGGACGGGGCUCCGUGCCAGGCAGCUGUGUGCAGAGAUGCCUCCAUGCUCAACUGCAGACAAGGAGCCAGGAUCUGUGAUUCUUUCAUGAAUUCCUCCUCCUCCCAAGCUUUUGGCCAGGAUGGAAGCAAAGGCGGUCUGUUUCCUCAUCUACUGUAAAAUGCUCAACCCGCUGGGGAGAUGACCCUGACUUUCCUGGAGAGUCCUGGGCUGGAGGGAGCCUUGAAGGACAGGAGAUGGUGUGGGGGGCCCAGAACACCUGGAAGGAGGAUUAAACAGAAUUGUUUUGAAAUUGUGGUUCUGGAGAAGACUCUUGAGUAGUCCCUUGGACUGCAAGGAGAUCAAACCAGGCAAUCUUAAAGGAAAUCAACUCUGAAUAUUCACUGGA